UCAAUACAAAGCCUUCUUUGUAAGCUCUUGUGUUCCUUCAUUGUCCCUUUCUUAAAGUGUUCUACUUAGUGCCUUUCUAAGACAUCAACGCCAAUCGGGAGGCUGACUUAGUGUAAUAACCGCGGGGGCGGAAGUUGAAGACACUAAGGCCGCACGGUUCUUGGAGGAAAUUAGCAAGUCCGUGACAGUUGGUAUCAGAGCCUAGGUUUGCUCACUUACU
rnacentral:lncRNA from 1 species